rnacentral:rRNA from 1 species
AUGAACGCUGGCGGCGUGCCUAAUACAUGCAAGUCGAGCGAACGGACGAGAAGCUUGCUUUUCUGAUGUUAGCGGCGGACGGGUGAGUAACACGUGGAUAACCUACCUAUAAGACUGGGAUAACUUCGGGAAACCGGAGCUAAUACCGGAUAAUAUUUUGAACCGCAUGGUUCAAAAGUGAAAGACGGUCUUGCUGUCACUUAUAGAUGGAUCCGCUCUGCAUUAGCUAGUUGGUAAGGUAACGGCUUACCAAGGCAACGAUGCAUAGCCGACCUGAGAGGGUGAUCGGCCACACUGGAACUGAGACACGGUCCAGACUCCUACGGGAGGCAGCAGUAGGGAAUCUUCCGCAAUGGGCGAAAGCCUGACGGAGCAACGCCGCGUGAGUGAUGAAGGUCUUCGGAUCGUAAAACUCUGUUAUUAGGGAAGAACAUAUGUGUAAGUAACUGUGCACAUCUUGACGGUACCUAAUCAGAAAGCCACGGCUAACUACGUG